UGAACGACUGGCAGCAAUUUCCAAUUUGUCCAUACACCCGGACAAAGCUUACUGCAAUCAGAAGAUGUCCUGUUAUCAUGACUCUGAAUAGGUAGUAGGUACUAAUAUACUCCACGUAAAAAAGCGCACGGCACUCCCAGAAGUCCAACAAGUCCAACCGCCUCUUCAAGACAGGCAGGUUCCCCAGAACCCAAGCUUAUCUAGACCAAGGGUCUGGACCAUUUUUGGCUGACAGAACCAUGAAAGCCAAAUAUUUUAAAAUGUAUUUCCGUGAGAGCCCAUGUGCAGCUGAGAUAGGCUCCAGCAACCCCUGCGACCCAGAAUGGGACAAGCGCUAGACAAUGGAUGGACGGAUACAACUAAAUGCGUGCAUUUUUAAGACAGCUGGGAUUGGCUGGGCCCCUGCAACCUUGAACAACAACACAACUUCAACUGAAGAGUCGUGUAAUCAGUGGCAGGGCGUGGCGUUUCCCACCUAGGCCUUCAGUGACGUCCUGUUUCCAAAGAUUACCAAUCAAAAUACAAUCAUUGAUGUCCCCACAUGACCAUUGCUGGAGAAAUACUAUACAGAAACACAUUUACGCACUACCGGGCAUUGUACAAAACGGGUUAUUUCCUGGCGCAUUUAAAUAUCAAUAAACCCGCAUCAGCAAUUAAAUAAUGUAUUAUGUGGUACUGUCAAAAUUAAUAUUUUAAAAAACAUAUUAAACGUGAAAAAAAAAAAAAUAUAUAUAUAUAUAUCUGAACUCACAUUUCAUCACCGGGACAGCUGA